GUCAAACGGAGUUGUCUGUUGUCGGCUUGUAAGUUAUGUUUUAAGUGUCUUUCAACGUUGCUGUUAAAUAUUUACUUUGAAUUCAGUUUGUCAACUAUGCAUGCAACCGGUGAAUAGAACGGUAGACAAACAAAACAUCAGCAUCAGUGCAUUUUUAAGAUUUUCGGAAGCGUUGUCCUCUAUUUCGUGCAUGUCUCAACGUGUUUCGCGACUCGUGGCUUUUAAUGUGGAAAUUGUGCAUGUGCUUGUGUUGUUUCCUGUGUCUGGAAGUCUGGAUCAACCUCCCGUUUCUUAACUCUACCAGAUAUGCCACUGCGCCGCGGACGUUCACAACCAUAUUCCGUCGAUGACACUCUCAAUUUUGAGCCGAAAAAAUCGCUAUGAAAGAUUUGAGCAAAGGCUCAUCCAUCCAGUAAGCCGAAAAAACUGAAGAUGAAUUUCCCCUCUGGAAUGAUGGCACCCCAACUGGACGGUUCCGAACGAUGUCCUCGGAUGAAUUUCCACCCCAAAUCCCAAAUCAAAGAAGAAUCAAUCGGAGAAGAAGGGUUGCACCCCGAAGAAAGUGAAGGUGAGAAAGCGGUAACAUUAUCGAGUAUUCUCAUUUUCAAAAUCACAACGAAAUUCUGGUGAGUCAAAUCCUAGAAAAUGUUCCAUGUUUACACUUUUAAAAAUCGAGAAGUGAAAUUCGGUGCCGGAGUUUAUAGCGCCCAAAAACCUCCGAGUGAUGUGAAUGCGAAGUAAAAUUAGCACCAUAAAAGCGUAUGACACUUCCCAAAAAUAGUAGACUUCGCUUCGUAAUAGUGAUUAU
rnacentral:lncRNA from 1 species